rnacentral:antisense_RNA from 1 species
CUUUGUAUGAAAUCACCCAUCACAAAGGUGACAACAAACUCAUAUAUUUUUAAAGCACUUGGUCAGGCAUGGUGGCUCAUACCUAUAAUCCCAGCAUUUUGAGAGGCCAAGGCGGGAGGUUUGCUUGAGGUCAGGAGUUCAAGAUCAGCCUGAGCAACAAAGCAAGAUCCCAUCUCCACUUUUUUUUUUUUUUUUAGAGACAGCGUCUUGCUCUGUCACCCAGGCUGCAGUGCAGUGGCGACAGAGUGAGACUCCAUUUCAAAAAAUAAAAAUAAUAAAAAAUAAUAAAAUAAAAUAAAAUAAGUCUACAGGGCAAAGAAAGCAGACACACUGUUGGAAAAGCCAUGGGCUGCCAGUUUGCAGCCUCUGCCUUAGUUGCUUGACUGAUGCACUGUGCAUCAGUAACGGUAAUGUCUGUUAUCAUUCCUGGUGUUGAAACAGGGUCAUCCUUACAAAAAUAUCAGGCUUCGCCAGGAAGCUGGCAGAGCUCAGGGUGACUGAGUGACAUCUGCUGUGUCCAGGGCAGUGAGAGCAAGCUCAGGAGGGAAGCCCAGGUUCCUAGGGAGGAAGGUAAGAGAG